CUCCACAAUAUGAAGCCCAUAUACUGCAGGCGCUGGACUCGAGGAUGGAAAUCUAUGCCGUUCAUAAAGUCCCACAAGUCGUCCACUCUCGUGGCGUGGAGAGGCUGGGCCAGCAGUUCUCUCUCCCAUACGUAGGCGGACCUACUAUGGCCCUGUAACAUUACUAGCUCAUCGGAGACAGGUCCAGGAUACACAGACGGCACGUCUAUGUCGUCUAUUGUAAAUUAAACAAUGUUAAUUGUGUGUUUAUUUUAUAAAUCAAAUAAUUAAUUUUUAUAAAUUAUAAUUGGACAGAGUAUAUACCUAUAAGUUCCAGGCUCGAUAUUUGAGGCCCAGUAGCACCAAACUAACC
rnacentral:lncRNA from 1 species